rnacentral:rRNA from 1 species
CAGUCGCCGCGGGAAUACGAAGGGCGCAAGCGUUACUCGGAAUUACUGGGCGUAAAGCGCACGUAGGCGGACAUUUAAGUCAGGGGUGAAAUCCCGGGGCUCAACCCCGGAACUGCCUUUGAUACUGGGUGUCUAGAGUAUGGAAGAGGUGAGUGGAAUUCCGAGUGUAGAGGUGAAAUUCGUAGAUAUUCGGAGGAACACCAGUGGCGAAGGCGGCUCACUGGUCCAUUACUGACGCUGAGGUGCGAAAGCGUGGGGAGCAAACAGGAUUAGAUACCCGAGUAGUCCCUGUCUCUUAUAC